rnacentral:rRNA from 1 species
UACAGAGGGUGCGAGCGUUAAUCGGAAUUACUGGGCGUAAAGCGUGCGUAGACGGUUAUGUAAGUCGGGGGUGAAAGCCCAGGGCUCAACCCUGGAACUGCCUUCGAUACUGGGAGUCUUGAGUAUGGUAGAGGUUGGCGGAACUGCGAGUGUAGAGGUGAAAUUCGUAGAUAUUCGCAAGAACACCAGUGGCGAAGGCGGCCAACUGGACCAUUACUGACGCUGAGGUGCGAAAGCGUGGGGAGCAAACAGG